GACCCCUUUGCGUUCCCCCACCGAGGGACCGGCCCCAUGAACCAGUCAGGAUCUACCAAGAUUGUAGGGAUCGCCUCUCGGACCGUCAGCCAAAGCCGAUCCCUAUCCCUGUCAACCUCGAAGACCCACGGGUGACACACCUGGGCCCCUCGCCAGCCCCCGUCCGCAUACCCGACGAGGAAGGUGUCGGGGGCUCGGAUACUUGGGACUUUUAUAAUUCAGAGACCCAG
rnacentral:lncRNA from 1 species